GACGAACGCUGGCGGCGUGCUUAACACAUGCAAGUCGAACGGGCCUUGUCCCCUUUUUUUUUGGGGGUGGGGUUAGUGGCGAACGGGUGAGUAACACGUGAGUAACCUGCCCCUCACUUCUGGAUAACCUCUUGAAAGGGUGGCUAAUACGGGGUGGUCUGGCCUGCUCGCUUGGGGGGGUUUGGAAAGAUUCGACCGGUUUUGGUUUUUUUUGUGGGGGGUUGGCUCGCGGCCUUUCGGCUGGUGGGGGGGGUGAUGGCCGGCCAAGGUUUUGUCGGGUGGCCCGCCUGAGAGGGUGGGCGGUCACACUGGGACUGAGACACGGACCAGACUCCUACGGGAGGCAGCAGUGGGGAAUAUUGCACAAUGGGCGCAAGGCUGAUGCAGCGACGCCGCGUGAGGGAUGGAGGCCGUCGGGUUGUGAACCUCUUUCGCCAGUGAAGAAGGUCCUGCUCUUUGUGGUGGGGUUGACGGUAGCUGGGUUAAUGAAGCGCCGGCUAACUACGUG
rnacentral:rRNA from 1 species